CAGCCGCGCGGUAAUACGAAGGGGGCUAGCGUUGCUCGGAAUGACUGGGCGUAAAGGGCGCGUAGGCGGCGAUCAAAGUCAGGCGUGAAAUUCCUGGGCUCAACCUGGGGGCUGCGUUUGAUACUUGGUUGCUUGAGUGGGGAAGAGGGUCGUGGAAUUCCCAGUGUAGAGGUGAAAUUCGUAGAUAUUGGGAAGAACACCGGUGGCGAAGGCGGCGACCUGGUCCUUGACUGACGCUGAGGCGCGAAAGCGUGGGGAGCAAACAGGAUUAGAUACCCCAGUAGUCCCUGUCUCUUAUACA
rnacentral:rRNA from 1 species